rnacentral:lncRNA from 10 species
UAGAGUUUAGGAUGCAUUCAUGCCCAGGGCUCCUCUGCCCAGGCUUGGGGCUACCUUGUGGGGCUUGGUUGUGAGGACCAUGGCCAAGGCUGGGUGGCCAGGGACGAAGUAUCUGUCCUGGCCUGAGCACCUGUGCUGACCUAGCCCAUCCACGCCAUCACAGUGGGCACCUUUGCUGUCCUUCUGGGAAUUCUCCCAGUCACUAGUGAGGGUGAUAGCUUUCCCACUUCUGGCCCAACCUGCUCCCACUCCAUUCCAGGGCCCCCUGGGUCAUCUCCCACUUACAGCCCUCCUCUCGCCUUUGGGAUCUGACACCUGAACUCGCUUUCUGCAGUUUGCCCUUUGGCAUUCUUCAAGGGCUUUGGCUGAUCCUGCCUUCUGGCUGCGGUGCUCUUCUCCCUGACCCUCCUUUCAUAUUCAUCCUAAAUGACAAGACCUUUCCUUAAA